AUUCAGUUAGUAUAUAUAUUAUAUUGGUUUUAGGGGCCAAAGAAUGGGUGAGCACCAACUGAAUG
rnacentral:tRNA from 1 species